AUCGGCCUAUCAAAUUAACAUUUAAUUUAAUGCUGUUCUUGUCAACACAACGCACGAUAAAUAAUAUUUACACAUUCGAUGAUUUAUUCAUCUGAAAAAGCAUGUCCUUGAACACCUAUACAACGUCGUGCUCUGUUAACCAUGUCAGAAAAAGCGCUUUGUAUCAUUUGUGCAUCUAAAUUUUGGCACGCUAAGAUAUAACUGCCUGGCGGAGCUGUCUCAAAUUCCUAGGCUGCUGCUCAUGCGGGACGUUCCAGAUUUGUUGCUUCAAUUCGAACUUU